rnacentral:rRNA from 1 species
ACGGAAGGCAGCAGUAGGGAGUAUUGCACAAUGGGGGAAACCCUGAUGCAGCAACGCCACGUGUGGGAAGAAGCAUUUCGGUGUGUAAACCACUGUCGUGAGGGAAUAAUGCUUGGUCUCGGCCAAGUUGAAUGUACCUCGAAAGGAAGCACCGGCAAACUUCGUGCCAGCGGCCGCGGUAAUACGAGGGGUGCAAGCGUUGUUCGGAAUCACUGGGCGUAAAGGGAGCGCAGGCGGAGAUGCAAGCAGUCUGUACAAUACCGGGGCCCAACCCCGGACCUGCAGACUGGACUGUUUCUCUUGGAUAGUUCAGGGGCAAGCGGAAUUCCUGGUGUAGCGGUGGAAUGCGUAGAGAUCAGGAAGAACACCGAUGGCGAAGGCAGCUUGCUGGGGACUUAUCGACGCUCAUGCUCGAAGGUGCGGGUAGCAAACAGGAUUAGAUACCCUGGUA